UAUUUCCAGGUGUGGUAUACCGUAUACCUGUUUUGAGGGAAGAGCCAAGCCUUCGACAUUGCUCACUUACUGUCAACAUCUUGCUCUUUGAAAUUGAUAACCAGUAGCAAGUCUGACCUUAGACAUAUGAGUCAAUCUUCCACCUUUUAUCCUACUUCUCUUACUUUACAAACUUCCACAUUUCCAUCAAAGAGGUCACGCCAAAGAGGUCUUACUGUUUUUGCAACCGCACUAUCUCCAAGUCAAAGCAGCUCUGUGUUUGAUCACAAAGACACUGAACCAUCAAGGCCAAAGAGAGUCAUGAUUAUAGGCGGAGAUGGAUAUUGUGGGUGGGCUACCGCUCUUCAUCUUUCCAAGCAAAAUUAUGAAGUUGCCAUUGUAGAUAAUCUUGUCCAACGACUUUUUGAUCUUCAACUUGGUCUUGAUUCACUAACACCAAUCUCUUCAAUCCACAAUCGUGUCCGACGAUGGAAAUCUCUGACAGGAAAAACUAUUGAGCUUUAUAUUGGUGACAUAUGUGAUUUUGAAUUUUUAUCUGAGACUUUCAAAUCUUUUGAGCCUGAUUCUGUUGUUCAUUUUGGUGAACAACGCUCGGCUCCUUACUCCAUGAUUGAUCGUACUAGAGCGGUGUUCACGCAGCAUAACAAUGUGAUUGGUACACUAAAUGUUCUGUUUGCUAUCAAGGAAUAUAGAGAGGACUGCCAUUUAGUAAGCUGGGAACAAUGGGCAAAUAUGGGACUCCCAACAUUGACAUUGAGGAAGGAUACAUUACAAUUAACCACAAUGGCAGGACAGAUACAUUGCCUUACCCAAAGCAAAGAAGCUCAUUUUACCACCUGAGUAAGGUCCAUGAUUCCAAUAAUAUAGCAUUUACUUGCAAGGCGUGGGGGAUUAGGGUUACUGAUCUGAACCAAGGAGUGGUAAUGUAUCCUAUGAGCAGUAGUGCUACACACAGACCCAAUGGUGGGUUAUUGGAAAUGUGUCUUAUGAGUAAGAGCAUUCCCAAUGGUAAAAGGGUUUUAGGGGUGCCACAUAGGAGAGAGAGGAAAGGUUUUAGCAUAAAAUUAAUGUUAAAAGUGAUUAGUGGUUUUAGAGUUUCCAAUGGUUGGUUUUAAAAUAAGUAUUAAAACUUAAUAUUUUAUUUUUUCAAAAAAAACAGUGUACAUUAUGGGUAAAUUUAAUGUUUAAGAGCAUUCCCAAUGGUAGGUUUUAAAUCACUUUUAGCAAUUUUUAGUAAAAAACUCUUGCCAAUAGUGGGUUUUAACACAUUUUUCAAGCAAAACACUUUUAUCUCCUUGGCAAAUUUGUCAAGGAGUUAAAAGUGCCACAUAGAACCAUUUUAUUAAUUAAAAAUUAGAUUUCAUCACAAUGUACACUAUAUUUUUUGGGAAAAGUGAAACCUUAAAUUUUAACCCUUGUUUUAAAACCAACCAUUGGUAACUCUAAAAGUGCUAAUCACUUUUAACAUAAAUUUUAUGCUAAAACCUUUUCUCUCUCUCCUAUGUGGCACCCUUAAAACCCUUUUACUAUUGGGAAUGCUCUAACUAGCUAAAAAAUCCUACGUGGCACUUUUAAGUCCUUGGCAAAUUUGCCAAGGAGUUAAAAGUGUUUUACUUGAAAAAUGUGUUAAAAGCUACCAUUGGCAAGAGUUUUUUACUAAAAGUGUCUAAAAGUAUUUUAAAACCUACCAUUGGGAAUGCUCUAACAGUUUUAUGAGCUGAACAAUGUAAUUAUGUUACCCUAUCAGUUUUAACCAUUGAAUGCAACAUAAUUAUGUUCAAAAUUGAUAACAUUGAAUCAACUCCCUUGACUCCUCAUUCACCAUGGAAAAUGAACUAUCCAUUUCCUCCAACUUGAUCUCCUUCUUCACCUUAAAAUCGAGAAUCAACUUCUCUACCCCUCUACAACACUUACAUGCUAUCGCAUGGACCCUAACGGUGAGUUAUCCGAAACGUAUCUUGUGGGGAACCAUUUCUAUUUGUAGAAUCACCCCUAUUAGGUAGGAGUAUAUACAAAUGGUAAGUGGGUUAAACGACCUAAUGUAUGUUAUGUGGAAGGAACUGGGGGCAAGGAAAGUGGAUUGAAAUAUGGAAAACAAUAACAUGAAGAAAAUAAAUCGGCAAUGUUUAUACAUUAUUAUUUUAUAGAUUCAUUAUUAUCUUAUUUUCGUCAAAUUUCAAAUACAAAUUUGUUGAUAUUGCAUUAUUUUAUAUAAGUAAUAAAACUAUAAGAACAAAUGUGUAAAUACCUGAUAAACUCACUAAAAUAGGAAACUGCCUGAUAUUUUUUUUUAAAUAAAAUAAGGGGGUUUAGCAUGGACCCCUUGUCACGACCCUAAUAUCCAAACAUUGGUAAAAAAAGAGAAUUUACAAAAUUACCCUCAAGAUGCCAAUAAAUGGAAAAAGGAUCAAGACAGUAAUCUAAAUAAACAUUUGCACCAGGUAAAAAUCCAUAACUAUUUAAAGUCAAGUACUUCAACACAAAUAGUUUGGACUCCCAAUAGUUUCCAUAAAUAAUCUGAAAACUCCAAAUACUAAAUUAAACAACUCCAAUAUUAAAAUUCAACAACUUCCUGCUAAGGCAUUGUCUUCCCCAAUCAACAAUAAUCCAAUAAAUGAAUAAACUUGAAUAAUCCAUUGACAAACAAAUCAAAGAACUAAACCUACUAUGAAAUAUAACUUCUACGAUCUCAAACUCCUUCCCGAACAACUGGAUCUACACGAGCCUCCUGGUGUUGCUCCCGAUCGUACUCAACUGGUUGCUCUCCUCCACCUACGCUCCAUAAGGAUACGCACCCACGUGCAAAACACGCAACAUGGGUCAGCAAACUAUGCUGGUAUGAGUAGACGAGGGUAGGGAACUCCAUUCCCAAAAACAAUAAUAUAACAGACUCCGCGGUCUUUAUACAUUUAUCUCGUUUACUAAGUAAAUAUUAUAUGUUAUAAUAAUACAUUACCUGAGCUGCACCUCCUAUUAGGAUAGGUCGAGCCCUGCAAGAAAUGUUAAUUGACCUAUCCUCCUGCAAAACUGUGUUAGUACAAUAAUAUAUAAUUCAUGGCAUCUCAAGUCUCGACACUAUAUCUCAAUCACUACAAAUCAAUCAUUACACCCAAACAACACUUCACAACCUAUACCCAAUCACUAGUACAUCUCCCACAGGAUGCACUCCACACAUUUGCCAUACCCACACUGCACCAGUGUGCCUUGACCAUGGUUAAGACCCUCUACGUGGAAACCAAAACCCAAGUGGGUGCUCACCUGCAAGCUUUGGCUAGCCUCGACGUAUGCCUAACUCAUGGCCUCUACUAGCUCCCUUUAGCUUUCUAAAGUGGCGCCCAGACCAACCCCGAAGGCUAUGAAGGUCUGUAGGGUCAGUUCCGCAGGCUAAGCCAUCUAGGAAAUACCCAAAUAUAUUUCAAGAGUCAACCCGCAGGCUAAGCCGUCUAGGGUGCUAAUUAAUUUCUUAAUCCUAAUUCCACAGGUGCGGCAAAUGUACUAAUGCUUGGGCGACUACCAAAACAUCUAAACUAUCAAUCAAUCAAGUAACACUCGAUAAUAAAAUUACACAUCAACUUCACAUUCCAAUUCCAUUUUGUAUUCCUUUUACGUUUUUUCCAAAUUAAUCAAAUACCGUUCAUGGUAUAUAAAGCCAUUCCAAGGCAUUCAUUAACAAACUCCUCAAAUUUAAUAUCAAAAUAUUUUUAUAUUUUCCAAAAUAAGAAUUCUAUCUACAGUACAACCACAAAGAGAACACAUUCGGCGGAUAAUAUUUACUGUACCACUAAACUACAUAAAUCCCUAUAGCCCUAGUCUCAUUAAAAUUCUAUCUAUUAGUAUAUAUAUACCUAGUCCAAGUAGGUGAACAGUAACCAAGAGUGAUAUCGAAAACUCGACAAUUUAUGAUCACACGUGCCCAUUUCCAUACAAUCAAGCAAUUCUGUAACCCAAAGUUCUAAUGAUUUAAUGACUAUAUCAGAUCAACUCAUAUCAGAAAAUUUCAAGAUAAGAAAACAUAUAUUAUACAUACUUAAAACCAUUUGAAAUAAAAAUUAUUUAAUAAACCAAAAUAUAAAGCAGUUGGUGAACAACUUGAAAACAAACAAAUUCCAACACAUAGCCCGUGCACUAUUGUUAAACAUUAACACACCAUCAUCACCUGAUUGUAUACCAACGGUUAUUAUCAUAUCUUUUUAUUUAUGUAAUCAAAUAGUAAGAAUCUUAACAUCUGUAUAUAGAUGAAUACUAAUAUUAAAUAACAAUAUAAUAUAGAUUAACUUAUAUCCACUCACCUGCUACCACUAUUGUUCGUCUUCUUCCACCAGCUUCUAAUCUGUGCGAGUCUGUGGCGCUCCCGUCACCACAACCACUGCUACUUCUUCUUCCCCCUUAACCCCAAAUCUCUGAAUGUUGAGUUUUCCGAAACUUCCUAUCCUUUCCACCUCUGGGUCGCCGCCACUCUUUCUCUCUUUUCUUUUCGUAAACCUUUCUUUUUUUAUAAACGCAAACAACUUCUGAUCUCUAGAUAUAGCUAAGAAUCUAUCCUAAGACGGUUCAUCCAACGCUCACCAAUUAAUCAAAGUGGGAUCGUGCUCCCGAAUUACCAGCAAAGAAAAAUCUGUUCGUGGGUUAUUUUUCAUCAAGUUUGGUUUAUUUAAAUCAUAGUCCUCCCACUUUAUAGUAAUUAUAAUUAAACCCUUGGUCCAGGGACUUGUACCCAAUUACUCUUAAUUCCAAAUUAAAAUUUGCAUAAAAUAUAAAAGAGGGGGGGUUUACACCCCUACCCGUAGAUAAAUCAGAUUUGGGCCGAGGCCUGGUAUAAGGCUCGAUGGGCUGGGAUAGAACAAAGCUACAGAGAUAAAUCUAAAAAGGCCCUUUGGGGUGGUAAGGCCUAGUGCCAAGAUCAGAGAAGGAUUGACUUUGUUUGUUUGAAGUAGUCUUGGAAGUUGUAGCGCGCAGCUAAAAGCAACUCAAUCCUUCAAAAACCAUAAUGACACUUCGUUUGUAGAGCUAGAAGACCAUUUCCUGUAGCAACCAAGAAAAAGAGUGCAACCAUCCAUGGCAGCCCCAAGCGGAGAGAAGAUGAAGAACAUUAAGAUUGAGCCUGAGGAGGAGGCUCCAGAGGUAAUGGUCAUGUCUGUAGGUGAGACUUUGUGCAAGGAACAUUGGAAAAAAGUAGUGGAGCUAGUGCAGGAGAGUAAGAGAGAUUGCGCUGCAUGUAAGGCUUGUAAAGGGGUGGAGAGGUCGAUUCCUCAUGUGAAGAAAGAGAUCAAAUUGGAGGAGAUCGCUGGGUCAUCAUCCAAGGUGAAGGAGGAGCCAAGGGAGCUGGUUUUUCCUAAGGUGGAGCCUAAGGAAGAACUAGUUAUUCCUGAAACUGAUUCUAUGAUUGGAGAGCCAUAAAUCCCUCCAAUACCUGCUGAACAGGAGGAUGAGCAUGAUCUUGAUGCGCCUUUGUUUGGUGGAGAUGUUGAAGUUGCAGGUGAGCAAACCCUAAUCUGCAAAACCAAGAAUUGAAAUCAAUUUCUUAAUUCUGUUUAUCCAGGGAAUAGUUGAUGAUGAAUUAAUUUAUUCUUCCGUGAAUGGCAGAUGAUGCUGAUGAUGUUGCUAAAGAUGAGGAUGAGAUGGAGGCAGAUGAUGAGAUGGAGGACUCUUCCGAAUUUUCCUCUUCUACCACCACUGGAGGAGAUAAUGAUGAAAUGGAUAUGGAUGGGCUUGAUUCAGAGGAGGAGUACAUGACUCCUUCUGAUGAUGAGUGGGAGGUGGAAGAGUAGGAGUAUGAGCCCACUGAUUCCAAUGCAGAAGAAGACUGAAAAUCAGGCAAGAAAAUUACUUAGUUAAGAAUGUAGACUAUUAUCAAUCAAGAUUAUCAAACAAUGAUUUGUAUGUAAAUUGAAUUGAAAAUCUUGAUCUUAGAUGAAUGUUAUCUAUUUACUUAAAUCUAUUGUCUAUUUACUUGUCAAAUUUUUUUAUUGUUCCCGAUCCAUGGAAGGGGUUGAAUGCCCAUAUAUUUUCUCCACAUAAAAUUUGCUUGAGUUCUGAAUGAGAGGAGACAAAUGUAGCUUCAUCAGCUUUAAAGUGCAAUCCCAUGCUUGCAAGAAAAUCUGCAACCCUGUUACCUUCCAUGUAGGUGUGAUGGACUUGUAUAUUGAGAGAUGUAGCCAAGUCCCAGAUUUUAUUUCACCAAAUACUUAGGUGCCAAGGGACUGAUAUAGACUUGAUGAACCAUUUGCCUGAUUAACUUAGUAAUUUAGUAUGAAGUAUAGAUUUUGUGUUACGUUAUUUGUAUUAUGUGUUUUUUUGAGUUUCGCAUUGUGUAUGGGAACUCUGUAGGACAACCAUGGGAGCGCAUCAACCUUCCUCGUCCGAUGAUAGUUGUUUUGUUGAAGAUGUUGAUUACUAUGAUCGUGUUUAUAGUGCACUUGAUCGUUCUAUGUGCUACAAACUUUUUAAUAAAUUUGAUGGUCCGUAUAAUGUUGAAGAACUAACAGUCUCGUUAGAUGAAGCGAAAGUGAAGGUCACAAAAGAAGUGGACAAUGUGUGUUCCCUGAGCAUCCAGAUUCAAUAGAUAGCAGUAGUGUCUGUGUUAUGCACGGCUUGGGAAGUUGAAUAGAGAUAUAGAAUAAUUUGAAUAGAUAUUACGAUCGAUUGACAUUUGUUUGUAUAACGUUGAAUUUGUGUAGAGAUUAUGAUCGCUUUGGAAGAUAUCCAAUAUGUUAAAGCAUGCAAUGUUUAAAUAAGCAAAACCAAACAGUACAUAGUAAAAUUAAAAAACAAAAAUGAAAUUAAGAGUGUAAAAUGCCUAAAGAAUAAAUGAUCGGCUUAAUUUAUUAGCAAAAGAAUCAAUGUUUAGCUUCUCUUUCAUAAGCCAGUGUCGUGUGAGAAAGCACAUACAGUAUUGACAAAUAAAAAAUUAACGUAGCAAACAUGAUUAUCAAUCAUCUGCAUUGAGUCGAAAAAGAAUUAAUGUUUUGCUUCUCUUUCAUAAGCCAGUGUCGUGUGAGAAAGCACGUACAAUAUUGACAAAUAAAAAAUUAAUGUAGCAACAGGAUUAUCAAUCAUCUGCAUUGAGUAAUGAUGAAAGGCUUCAUGAGUAGAUAAGAAUGGACAAAAAAAAACAAAAAAUAAAACACAAAGCUAAAACAUAAAGAACAACAUUGGAAUACUCUGUGAUGAAUUAUUUUUGUACAAAUAAUAUUGCGUAUCAUACAUAUGGUUUGAAAAGGUUGUGUACAUACUUUGUUAAAAAAGUUGUGUAUCAUAUAUAUCAUUAGGUUGUACAUAUCCAAUGUUUGAGCAGCAGUAAGACACACUGCGCUUUCUCUUCGAAAAACUCUUUCUUCUUGAAGGGUUUAGUUGUGUGACGCCGACUCAUUAUAUCCAUUUCCUUUUCAAAUGCAGUAUGUAGAUCAUCUUCUACUCAAUCUCUCAUACACAACUAUUGACAGUCAUUAGAGUUGUUCUUUGUCUCAAAUACUACUAAGAAAAGAAGGAAAUUGACAUCAUAAAUAUUUAAUUAACAUUAAGUUAUAAGUCAAACCAAAAACCAAAAACCAAAAUUAAAUUAAAGUAAAUUUAGAAUUAAAAACAAUAAUGAAUGAGGUGAAGUUUUCAUAAUUAAUUUGAUUCGAACCUCCUGCCCAACUUUAAGUUGAAGUCGCUAGUGAGAAGUGUGGGUUAACCUCUCUAACCACAUAUACCAUCUCUGCCAAUAUAUACUUCUCUAGCUGCUCUAUAUUCUCAUAAAUAUGUUCUUUUUAAGCAUUGAACUCUCGUCCACUUUUAAUGUAUUUGACCAACAUUGCGUAUAUGGCACCCAAUGUGCAAAAUGUUGCCUAAUCGUGGUAGAAAAAAGACGGUUUAGCAGUAUGACUAAUCAUAUCAAAUUAUUCUGGCAUAUCUUAAUAUAUUUAGAAGUUGAAUAAGCAUAUUGCUGAAUCCAAAACUCCAUAUAACUUGGAAGAGCCUAAAGAAGUAAAUCAGAUUAGAAUACAAAUUCAUAUUGUGAACUAAAUCAGGUGAUGUUAGAUGGAGUUCUUUUCUGAGUAAAUAAGUGGAUCUCAUUGUGCACUUGAACAUGAUUCUGCGAAGAAUGUUCUACUCUAGGUCUUCAAUUGAAUGGCCAAGCCAAAAUAAAGCAAGAAAAGAAUCAAUUAACGAUCCAUGUAACAGGUAGUAAACAUCCUUUUGCACAAUAAACAUUAUUCUUUGUUGCAAAUUUUUUGUGAUUUCUACCUACAUAUUUGAUUUUAACAUAUAUUAAAAGAGUGAGAUGGUAAGUAUAAUCUCUGCUACAGAUUACAAUUUUUGGGUUUGAGCUUUCGAUUUCCAGCUCAAUCUACCAAACAUGUUACUAUGUACAUGUACUCCCUAUUAAAAUACCUGUAAGGAACAAUUAUUUUUAUUGUAAACAAAUAGUCUAAUUAUGAUGUAAAAUAAUAGUUUAAUUAUGAUGGAUACUUUGAUUUCAAUUAGUGGUUGAUAUCUUCAUCAAUAACUUUUUUACUUCUGAUGUUUUUUUUUUUUAUUAGAUAAGCGCUCUAUUCUCUUUGUAGUAGAAAGGUUUUUCUUUGCGUGUGGUUCUUGUAAGUAAGCAACUUAAAUCUUUUUCCAUACCGACAAUUCUCAAACAAAAACGAAUUCUUAUAGAUUAGCACUACCAAAAUUGUCUAAUCUCAUUGAUCUUUAUGAACAGAAAAACAAACAAAGAUGGCAUUUAUACAGAAGUUGCUCACCUUGCAUGUUAUUAGUCUAUAAGUUCCACAUGUUGGUGUUUCGUCAAUCAAUUCAACUGUUCUUACUUUGGGGGGAUUGAAAAAUUAAUAAUAGCUCUCUCAAAUUGGAUCUGCCAUCUUCAACUUCCAUUGAAUUCCUACAUACGAAGCAAUAACAACUAAUUAGGAAGCAAAAUAGCACAAUGGUCUAUGAGAUAAGAAGAGAGAUUCUCAAAUUCUCAUCUAUAUAUUUGGUAUACAACUAUUGAACACCAUCACCAAAAUAACUGAUAUUUCACUUAAUACCUCCUAUUUGAAAAAAAAAAAACCCUCCUAUUUUUAGCAGCCAAUAUAAUUCGGAAGAAUAAGAUUAAUACAAAUUAGGUCAACUUCUUCUUUUACCAGAUUUACUUUAGUCAUGUUGAAUCUACACUGAAAAGAGUUGGAUUCAGUGAUAUCAAGGAAGCUAUGGUUAGGCCCUAAGAUAAAGCCAAUUUAAGAAAACAACCACAAACAACACAUGAUUAGGGCCUAAGAAAAACUAUGGUUAAUGGCUAUGGUCGUUUUGCCUAAGACAUAUAUAAGCGAAAAUAAAUAACUACUCUGGUUUUCAAAUCUGAUCGAUUCAUUUCAUUUAAAUUCUAUGUCAUACUGUAAAAGCUCCUAUUAUAAUUUUAGAGUGACAAACUAAAUUAAUAAUGAAUAAAAGAAUUUGUUUGCAGACCAUAUUGAUCUAGAAAAUAAAUCAAUCCAACAACACGUCAGGUGUUCAAUGGUAACAAAAUCUGUUGCAUGAAUAAAACCUAGAUGCUCCCCUAAUUGUAAGAAACCGACUGAAAACAUCAAUCCUAUGGAAGAGAAGAUUAACUUGUGCAUAAAAUGCUUUGACAUACCUCGGUAUAUGAAAUUAUCCAUAGUUGUCACCACUCAUUGUAGCAAUCCUUCUCAUUGCAAUAUCACAACUUAACAUUCUACCUCAUAGUCUCAUAGAUACACUUGAUUCCCGUGCCUUUAGCUGCCAUUCGAAGGGAAACAUAUCAAUUAAAAAAAAUGAAUUUGAAACAUAGGAGACAAACAAUGCAAUGACAAAUAUAUUAUCGAGAAAAUUCCAAAGGUCCUUUAAACAUAUAAAAUAAAAUAUUAUUGGCAUGUUUUAUGUCAGACAUUAAUUACUAAGAAAUAACGGUUUACCCUUGCAUUUUUUGACUAAUGUAAGCCUAUGAGGUUGAUAACUAUCAAAAAAUAUUUUUAAGAGAUAAUGCAAGCCACCAAGUUCGUAAAAAAUCUUUGUACUCAAAUCUUUGUCGCCAUUAAUUUUUUUUCCUAGUGUGAGAUGGUGAUCGGAGGGAAGGGAGCAAUUUUUUUUUUCUUAAUAAUUCCUAAAGCACAAUUGUAGUUUGAUAUUGUAAAUCGGCUUAUAUAUUCAGAACGUUUAUUCCGACAUCUCAGAACAUGUCACUGAUGUCAGUAGAUUAUAACUAAAUGUCAGUUGUUCCUAAUGUCAGAACACUAUCCAAUUCAGAUUCAAUACUAACGGGAAGUUAGUGAUAUGAUACUGAUUUUUCUAUGGAUUCUUUAAUUUAAUGUACACGGUACAGUAAUAGGAUUGAACCAACUUUUCGUUGAAUUAUAGAAAUAUCAAAUAACUUACCUUCUAUGGAUUUUUCUCAACCGCAACCGUCAGAAGGUCAUUCACUUGUCUGCUAGACGAAAUUUCCAAUCAAAAGGUGGAUUCUUGUUGUGAAAUAUAAUGGACUUCAUACUUUUAAAACAACAAUUACAUAUCAUUCACAAAAGUAAUGAUUUUUAACCAUCAAGAUCUGUAGUUAACACUACAUAAAACAGAUAAAGAAAAACUUAAAAUAUGAAAUUAUAAAAAAAUUCAUUUGACAUGUAUGUUUUAUAUGCCUAACACAAAUCUUUUUCAUUGUCAAUAUAAUUUUUUUUUCUAUUAAUAAAAUUUUAGCGGUCAGUUCCCCUCGGCCAGCCUACAAUUCAAAACCGAGACCAACAAACAUGAUGACAAACCAAAUUUUGUCUGCAAAUCUAAUCAGACCAUAAUUUUGAGGGGUGUAUACGCAAACAUUAAUUGCGACAAAUGAUCAAAUUCCUUGUACCCUAAUUUGGUUAAAACUUGAAUGACCUUUUGGCUGAAAGAAACAGAGAAAUCGUACAAAUAAGACAAUUAAACCAAGUAGAAAUAAGAAGAAAACCUGUUUUAAUUGAAGUGAAGAACAAUUUCAUCACAAACUUGGAUACAUUGAUUGUGGAGUUCUUCUUAACCUACCUCUGAUCUAAGAAUGGAUGGUCAUAUAGGCUCAAAAUAUAUUGAUUCAUUGAGAAAACAAUGAUGCAUUAUUACAAUUACACAAAAAAAUAUGCAUCCAAGUCUAAACAGCAUCUCAAACUCCGUUCACGGCGAACAACAGUAACAUGUUGAUCCAUUACUUAAAUCAAUAUUAGUUCUACUUCAGAAGUGCAGCAAGAUAUUGACAAACAUAUUAGUUUAAUCAAUAUAAAUUUUAUUUACAGAGAUCCAUAUUGGUCUAAGAUAAAGAUCUAUUUAAUAAAUUCAAUCCUUUCUUUUAACGGAAAUUUGGAAACAAAAUAAUUCCAAAACAAUACAAAAUAAAGAUAUUAUAGAUACCUCAUUUAGGUUAGGCGUCUGAAGCCCGAAGGUGGAGAUUGUCUUUUGGUAACGAAGGUUUAAUAAGAUUGAGAAAGUUAGUAGAGACUAUCCUUUAUUGGUAUGUGGAUGUGGAUUAUUAAUUAAGAUCAAACAACCCAAUGCAUAAUGAUGAACCACUACUAUUUGCAAUAGAUCCGGACAAACCUUUGCAAGAAUGGAAAAAACUCAUAUCAAAAUAUUUUGCAAAAAUCUAAUAAUUAGACAUACUGAUCGAUUGAAAUUUCAACAACAAAAAUUUUUGAAGUAAGGAAAACAUUAAAGCGGAAUUGAGAAAUCUGCACCAAAAUAGGCAAAAAAAAUGAAAACAAAUAAAUAUAAAGUAAUUGAUACUAUGAAUGGGGGAAGAAAUGGAAGAAGGGUGUAUGUCUAAUUGAUACUAACCUCUGUAUUAAUGGGGGAAUAAAUGGAAGAAGGGUGUAUGUCAUGUGUCAUAUGUAAUGUGUGAGUCUUUUCGGUAUUCUAAUUCAACUCUAUCUACCACAUAUUAAAACGAUAAAUCAAACAAUAUACAAACAUUAAAAUCACAAAGUUAUGCAUUAGCUAACCUGACUGAAGACCACACAAAGUGCAUAUUCUCAAUCCCCAAGUGUUAACAAAAGAAAGGAACUCGGAAAAAAAAUUAGUAAUUGAGCCAAGAGGAUAAUAGUCUUGUACUUGUAUAUUAUACUUUUCUUCUUAUUCAAGCUUUUUUGUUUUCAUGCUCAAUAGUAACGGAGUGCAGGUGCUAACAACAAACCUGAUAAAUAAUUUUAUUGAAGACAUCCAGUGUUCUUUUAUAUUGAAAGCAGUCAGAAGAUCACAUUGUCAUGACACCAAAAUAUCCACUACGCGAGCAUAAUGGAGAACAUCUCAAAUUAGAAAAAUCUGCGAAAAAAAAGGCUUAAGAUAUUAACCGGAUAUAUAAAGUGUAUGAAAAAAAUUAGAAGCUUUAAUAAGAUCUUCCCAUGUAUAACAAUCACAAUGCCAGCAUCUGUGUUAAUCUACAUAUAUGUUCAAAUCAGAUAGCUAAUUCAUUAGUUACAAAGGCUAGUGUUAAGACUUGUGGUGCAGGACACCAUGAGAAUUGUUUUGUACAUAGAAUCGUAGGCAAAAUUGACAUGAGCUGACUACUUUCCUUUUGCUUCAUUAUUUCCAAAUCCCUCAUUAAAUUUAAUUGUCAAACAAACUCUUUGAAAGGAAGAUACAAAAAUGUCAGAAACAUAUUGUAUUUGACAUCAUAUUAGUAAUAUGAUGUGAGAAUGGUGAAUUAGGAGCUACAACAGCUUGUGCUUGCAAACUUGUUUACAAAACAAAGGUGGGGAAAAAAAAUUAACUAAAAAAGAAAAACAUGGUAUUAAAAACGAUAAUCAAACAACAAAUGAUGGCAGUUUGAAUACCUUGGCAAGGUCAAGGGGAUUGACAAAAAUCGCAGGAAAGAAUGCUGCACCAGCAAAAAAAAUCAGAUUCCGUAAGUGAUUUUUUUUUUUUUUUUUUUUGGAAAAUCACUUUAUUAAUAAGCUCAAAGAAUCACAUUACUUAAUUUUUUUGAUAAAAGUAUUCGAACAGAUCAAAUCUGCAUCAAUUUCUUUAGAAUUUUAAAAACCAAGGCAUACAAAAUGGGGAAAAAACCUUACCGCAAAGAAAUUAAAUAGAUCAAGUGAACAAUAUAAAUCAAUUUCUGUAAUUGUUGCAAUUCUUCUAUAUUAAGUCCUUGGAGUUCUUCUCCCCUCAUAUUCCUACAUAAAAACCAAAAUACUACAAAUCAAUAUUCAAAUGCAUGCAUUUAAUUUGAAAGCUUACUAUUAGCAAGCACUCUAUGUACCUCAAUUGAUGGCUUCUCUCAAUGACUUCCUUGCUCAGCCUGGCAUAAUUGCCAUUCUCAAGCUGAAAUGCUCACCAAAAUAUCACAAAUCAAUUUUCUUGGACAGUCAUAUGUAAUGUACAACAGCUCAAGUAAUAUGUGGAGGAGCAUAAUCAAUGAUAGAAGAUGGAAAAUAUUAGUUUCACACAUGGAGUUUCGAAAUUGAGUGCCUAUGAUGGAAAAAGUGUCAAUGCAAGAACUGUUUCUUAACUGAAAGAAAGAGGUGGUAUGUAUGCUCUCAAUAAAAAGACAAAUAUUGAAAAAAAUCUGCAGGUUAUACACGUUCCUAUCGAAGCAUUAACUAAAACCUGUGUUAACUGAAAAUGGAUAAAAACGCACUUCUGGCUGACAUGGUUCCCAUUCUGGUCACGCACACACCUCAUGAUAUGACCAUCAAGCUUUGUAACCAUUUCAGUCUGCUGAUCCAAAUCGACAACUUCUAUUGCCUGCGUCAUCGAAUUCAUUUUUUUUAGUCCAAACUACAAAGUUAUAACACUAUGUACGGAUAUAACGACCAGCAAGGAAAACAAUUGUGGACAAAUUUCAAAAUUGCCUUUUCGAGGAUUUCAAUUUCAAAUCCAACAAAAUGAAUUCUACUCAAAAUCAUAAACAUCCAAAUAUUUAUUAACCAAUUCAGCAAUGAAAAUUAUAACUUUGAAAUGUUAGAUUUUCAAAGUUUUCUAUCUCUCUUAAUCAAACUUUCGAUUUUCAAUUAAAACACAUAUAACAAAUCAAAUCAAUAAAAUUAAUUUAACGUAACAAAACAAAUGAAAAUCGGAUAAAAUAAAAAAAAUACAAUAAAAAAAAUAAAUAAUAAUAAUAAUAAUAAUAAUAAUAAUAAUAAUAAUAAUAAUAAUAAUAAUAAUAAUUCUCCUUUUUAUAAUAAAGCACAGCCCCCACGGGCAAAAAAUUCUCAACAGAUAGCACAGAAUCCUCUAGCCACGUCAACAAAAUUAGAGUAGAUUUACAGAUUCAACAAAAAGAUAGCACAGAAUUCUCUUCUUUACCAAUCGUUGCUAUCUUUUUGUUAAGUGUAUCCAAACGCCGAAUUUCUCUCUACUUCGUAACUAUCGGAGCAAAUCUUCACUAACCGGCAUGUGUUACCAGUCAUGUUUUAACGAAAAGACACAUAAUGAUUCGUCGCUAUUUUGUGAAGUUAUAAAAGGAAUUAACAGCAAUGGAAUUCGUCACUUUCCUUUUUUGCUUCUCCUCUUCAAACCGAUCUGCAUGUGCCUCUGCUGCCAAAAGACAAACAAAUAAUUUUGGGAAGGUUAGAUUCUCAAUUCUUUCUAUUUUUCUCUUCUUUCGUAUGUGAAUUUUUAGUAGAUAUAUGGAGUAAAUAUUCUUCCUUUUUAUGUUCCAAAAUUACAGCAAUCAUUGAUUGAUUUAUACAUAGAGAUGUUUCCUUACUGGCUUGAUUCACUACAAUUUGGGUUCAUUCUAAUUUUGUUGCUAUUUAUACUAACAAAAUAUUACAUCAAUUAUUUUCUAUUCAGUACAAAUCCGUGCUUGCCUUUCUAAUUCUUGGUUUCCUUAUUGGCAUGAUUCACAUUCACUACAUUUUGAAUUACUUAUAGUUUUGGUUCGCUUUAUACUAAGAGAAGAUUGAAUAAUUUUGUAUUCAUUACAAAUUACAUGCUUGCAUCUGUUUUCUAAUUUUUUUUUUUACCUAAAUGAAUAUGUUUCAAUGGGCAUGAUUGUUUUUCCAUUUGGAUUUUAAAUCAUCCUUAUUCAGGAUUUGGGAACUCAUUUUUGGUAUUUUUAAUUUUUGAAAACUAGAUGUUAUUAUCUAAAAAUUACAGUAAUGCUAAUAUCCACCAUACAAAUUUUUAUUUCAAUUUUCAAUGCCUUUGAUAAACUGUUUCGAUAAAAUUCUGUUAUUGCAGACAGGUGUCAAUAGAAAAUGGCCUGCACCGACUAUCACUACCUAUCUGAAAUCAAUGAUAGUUCGGAGCGAUGGAAGGUUAAAGUCCGUAUUUCAAAAAAAUGGAAUGUUAUUGACUUUGAGAGUCAGGAAGACACCUUGCAAAUUGAUAUGGUUCUUCUGGACGAGAAAGUAAGCAGUUCUCAUAAAAGUACAACUGCGACGUAAUGUUAUAGGGGAAUCAGGUAUUAACUAUAUUUUAAUUCUUGCAGGGGGAUCAGGUGCACGCUACCAUUCCCAAGAGACAGAUAAUGAAGUUCUCUACCAUUCUACACGAGGGGGAUGUUUAUUUUCUGCAUAAAUUCGACGUGUCUCCAGUAAAGAGCAAUUAUCGUCCUGUUUGUCAUCCGUAUAGGGUCUUUCUGAAGUGGGACACAAUGAUUAAACCGGAAACUAACAUACACCCACUUUCCCAAAAUUUAAGUUCGAUUUUAUUGAAUAUGGUGAUAUUAAGCUAAGGCUCAAAGACAAAACCUAUUUGACAGGUGAGGAUUGAUAUUGUUUAUGCCUUUAAAUUAUUUUACAUAUUUAUCAUAUCUAAAAUGUUAAACAAUACUUAAGUUUACCAUCGUUUCAAUAUAGAUGUGUAUGGACAACUAACAAGGUUUACGAAUGUCAAAAAUGUGGAAUCUGGAACACUCCAAGAGAUUUUUCAAGAUAAAAGGUAUUUGGUAGUCAAAUAUGUAUAAUGUUUAGAAGCAGAUAUGUGCUACUCGCAAAUAUACUGUUUUGCAAAAAAAAAAAAAAAAAAAAAGAAUAAAGAAAAAAAAAUUACUAUUUCUAUUAUUAUACAAUAGAGUGAUAGUUUUGUUUCACACAUAUGUGUAGUGGAAGUAACUUGAAAGUUACACUGUAGGGACGUGCGAUAGAACAAUUUCCAGAUAAUAUAGUCAACUCAUCCACAAGCUGCCCAGUGGUGGUAGUUACAUCAUUAACAGUGAAGCUCUUUGACGGUAAAUUCAAUUAGUUUGUGGAAUUUAUUUAACACUGCAUAUGCAUCAAUCAAACCCUAUUAAAUCUUGGUUAUCUCACUUUCUUUUGUCCUAGGGGAAUAUUCGGUCUCAUCAACUACUGCUACAAAGCUAUAUGUUAAUCUUGAUAUUUCUGAAGUUGCUUCUUUGCCCAUGGACAGGUUCAAAAUAUGUUUCCAUCAAAGUUUUACAUGUGACUUUUAAUAUGGCUUAAAUCUGAGAAGUUUAUAUCGAUUAAUUUAUAUAACUUUGCAGUAAUGAAGAAAACACAGUCCAACUGAUCGAUGCAUCGUCAACAGCUAUCACUCUAGAGGAAAGGAUGGUCAACAAUAGGAAAAAAUUGGUUGAGAUUGUGCAAGCAGUACCAUAUACAUCCAUUGUGAGUUUGCUAUUGUGUUUUUCAAAAAAAUAUAGAAAUAAAAAUUAAUAAAACUAAUGCUAAGAGAUUAUGAAAUAUGGUUCUCAUUUAAAUGCAGGGAGAAAAGAUUACUUUCAGGGCUACCAUUUCUGAGAUUAUAUAUGAUUUCGAGCCUUUUUAUUUCUCUUGCACUAGCAAUGAUUGUCGUAAGAAAGUUGUUUAGAGACGUAUCAAGAAGCAUUGGUGUAACAACUGUACGGACUUUAUCGAUUAUCCAGUUGCAAGGUAAUGUUUUUUUUUAUUCUCGGUACCCAUAAGUAAGAUUAAUGAAGCUAAUGAAGCCUUUUUUAAAAUAUAAAAAAAAAAUCAAUUUUUCUGACAGGUACAAAAUAAUUGUUCGGGUUCGAGAUCACACAUAUUCAUCCUUGAUAUCUAUAUUUGAUGGAGAGGUUGAACGUUUGUUGAAGCGGCCAGUUACAGAAAUGGUGGACUUAAAUGCAAUGGUAUAAAAUGUUCUUUCCGUUUUCUUAUAAAAUGAAUGUGGUCUAUAGAAUCUAAUAUGAAAAUUUUACAGGGCAAUGGUGCGGAAGCUGUGAAGGAUAUAUUGGAGAAGCUUGUUGGUUUAGAAUUUAUUUUUGAAAUAAAAAUUAGUGACUUCAAUAGGCGUGAUGAUAGUGAGGUUCCCUCAUUUACAACAUCGAAAGUUUUAACCGUAGAUCAAGAAAUAGAGUCCAAGCAUUUCCCAAAACAGAUUGAGGUACAUCUCUAUAUGUUAGAUGCAUUAUUUACAUAUGUUCUUGAUCAAAUACCCUGACAGUUAGUUAAUUAUAUAUGUAGGUUGACAACAAAAUGAAAACGGUUGCAAAAAACAUUGCAGACCAGAAAAUGAAAAGGGUUGUAGAAGACACAACAGAUUAUGUAUGUUCAAGUCAGAGCAAUGUUGUCCAAGAUGUUCACAAUAUGGUAAAUAUCCAAGUUUUAUUAUAUAUAUUAUCUUCAGUUCACUCAAAGGGUACUAAAGUCAAAAUCUCAAGUGCAUGUAAUGUUUCGGUGUUCUCAUACUAACAAUACAUUCUGUACAUCUAUUAUAGGGAACCUCCCCAUCAAUAAAUGAAGUUCAUUUAGAAGAAGUGGAUGAUGUAGGUGUGACUUCUAGCCUUGCUAAGGGUAAAAGAAGUCGCAGGAAAUUGUGACGAUGUUGGUAGCGGAUGAGCAAGACCUCGACUUUAAAGAUCGCGUGGAAACAAUGAAAGACCGAUACUUAUUUUAUUAAUAUUAUAUUGUACUAUUUUUUUUAAUGACUAAUGGUUGAAUUUUAAAUGUGCUUACAGAGAUUAUAGAUCUCAUAUGCUUUGUGUAGUGUAAUUACUAAUGGCUGAAUUGUACAAGUUCCUGUUAGUCAUUACUCAACUCACCGGAUCCAUACUGCACAAACUCUGCUGGUAGUUUAUAAUGGACGGAGCUGCACCCACCAAAAUCUCACGUGUUUCGUCGUAAUUUUAUUGACGCUGCUAAAAAAGAUUGUGGAAUGGCUAAAGGGAAUUUUGAAUCUUAUUAUUUUUUUUCACUACAUUAAAAAAUUGUAAACAUAGUUUUUCAUUGUACAAAAUACAAGUGUUGGAUGUUAAUAUCCAUUUUGUUAAUAAAUUUAAAUUUUCCAUAAAUUGUGUCGGGUUUUAGUAUUUAUUUAUAUGAUUAACAUUUUGGAAUUUAGUUCUUCAUAAAUACUUUCUUUAUCUCUCUCAAUGUGGACGUACAGCUUCGACUGUCAGACUCCAUGUGUGUGGCUGAUUGUUUUUCUUUGGCUUUUUGGCAUAUUAUUUUUCAAACUCCUGUUAACACCAGAUAUCCAUUGUUCUAUGUGCUUUAAAAAAAAUAACAAAUAAAAAUAAAUAUACCUCAUUGUUUUUGAAAUUUGAUAAAGAAUGACUAUAACCACUCAUGACACUGCUUCUCUUAGAGAAAGGAGAUAGUUUGUUUUAGUGCAUAGAAAACCAUUAAUAAGUUGGGACUGACCAUAGUAACAGGUCCGAUAAAACAAGCUUAAACCAUUAUUAACAUGUAGCAUCUUGCUGAAGUCUAGGUUGUUUAAAAUAAACUACAUGACCAUCAAAGGCUAAAGCAUAGAUCUUAGGUCAUAAUUAUUUCUUUUUAAAAAAUUAAAAAUUACAAAAUUAAAUUUCACGUAUCUAUUGACAAAAUUUUGUUUUUUUCAAUUUGAACAAGAAGAACUUAAAACAAAAAAUUUCACAUCAUGAUUAUUACUCUAUCAAAAUAUUCUUUCAAGCUUCCCGCUCAAAAGCUAGUAAUACUAAUAAAGUAGAAGAAAUGAAAAACCCGUUUCAGAAUCUGGUUGUUGCUCAACUCUUCCUAACUUCGUUUCCAAUUGUUGUCACAUGUAUUAACCAUAUUUGUGAGGUUGGUCAAUGCAUUAAUGAAAGAUGAUGAUGUGUAUGAUAUGAACAAUAAUAAAGUAGAGACGUGAACACCAUUGUAUACGUGGUUCGGCAAUUGUGCCUACAUCCACGGAGAGGGAGAAAGAAGUUUAUUAUAGUAGUGGUGGUGAUACAAAAUGGGAGCUCGAUUAUGAGGAGAGCUCAAGAGAGAUGAGACCUGAGAGGUGAGGUCUCAUCAUGAGAGAUUGGGGAGGUCGUUGAUCAUGAGACCUCACCAUGAGAACCUGUGAGAAGAUCAGAACAUGCCUAGAAUGAGUAGCUUGCCUUCAUAUUUAUAGGCUACAAUGUAACUCCAUUCUUAACAUUUACUAGGGUAAUAAUGAGAGAAUAUCUUUGUAGUAAUUGGCUUUGACUUUGUAACUUGUGCCAUCAAGAAAGAGUCCAUUAGAUGAUGACAUGUGGCACCAUGAUGUACGGUAGAGAUGGUGCCACAUGUAUGUUGUAUGUAGUACCCCUACAUAAGCCCCCUCUUUUUAGGUUGAACGAAGUUCGGGCUGAAAAGAAGUAAUCGAACCGAUCCAGCCCCCAAGAUGAAAUGUGGGGGUCUUUAACGAAGUCGAUCCGCCCCAAAUUUUGAUGAGCUUGAUCAUUGAGAUUUGCAGGACGCGAUGAAGGUCCCUUGUGGUAAUGGCAACUCGAUCAUAACUUUGUGUGUAGCGAGCUAGUUAGUUCCAGGGAGACCUGGUAGCUCGUUCAGAAGGCAUGUAGACGAGAUGGACAGCUGCAAGCAGGUCGUACUGAAGUGGGGUCUUCUUGUAUGCAUGGGUUGUUGGUCUCAGUCAUGCUUUAAGGUGGUCGCCUUUUUGUGGUCGAGUUGCAUAGACCUGAUAAUGUUAGCAUGUGAAACAUUAUAAAAUUCAAUAAAAGACUUACAUGGAAUUGUACGUCUUCCUUAUGACUUGUAUGUACUAUCUUUGUCGCAUUGUGACUGGACACUUCGAUAGAUAUGGCACUUUGGAGUGCAAUGUAGCUCGUUUGAGAAAGAGCAUUGGUUGACCAAGUGUUUUGAGAGUUACUUGGAACCUUUUGGUGCCCGAUCUAGUGAAUGGUCGCACCGUGGAGACCUGUUUGACAAUUCUCGGGCAUGUGGCCUUUGUGGGUCUGCAUUGCGUUGAGAGUGAAUGCGUUCGACCAGGCGUGUGGCUAGAGAAUUGUGUUUGAGGUCGUCCCGCAUACGAGUGACUCACUAGUCAAUGAGGGUGGCCGUAUUGUAUAUCAAGCAUUUCACUUGUAGAGAGUUCAGUGAAAGCAAUGUAGCACAUUUGUGCAAAAAUAGCUCAUGGGGAGUGAGGUCAUGUUCAUGUGACCUGCACACAGAGAGAGCUACAAAAAAUAUCAUUAAUAGCUAAUUGUGCUAAUAAUAAGUUAAUUUCAUUAGAUAAAGUGAGAAUAGCCCCCUGUAUGGCAUAAAUAUUCUUGAGGUCGUUGAAAGACCUGUAAUUUGAGGAGGUCGUUGAUAGACCUGGUGAGGUCGCGAUGAAGGACCUGGCAUGAAGGACCUGGUAUGAAGGACCUGAGAGGUCGUUGGCUUAGGGACUUGAGAGGUCUUUGGCUUAGAGACCUGAAUAAGAGGUCAGGUCGCGAUGAGACCAAAUAUGAGAUCGAAUAUGAUCUAAAAUGUAUUUACUUUACAUGCUUAUAAGCCAACAACGUUAAGAGAUUUGCAAACUCCAUGCUUCAUUUGUAUGGACAAUAAGAGAAUGAUUAUAUGUAACAUAUAACAAUGUGAGUAAACAAAUGUGAGUAAAGAAAUCAGGUCGCCACAUUUGCGAGCUGAAAAAACCUUCAGCACUUGAUGAUUGAUACAGCAUGAAUAAUAAAUGAGAAUUAAGCCAUAGUCAACAUCAUUAAAGUAGUUCAAUGUUGAAAAUAUAUGAUAAAAUUGAUUGUGGGAUACUGGUGGCCACAUGCUCAAUGGGUGGAAAAAAGAAAAAUCAAAUGUAAUGAGAAUGUUACUGAUAUGUCAUGGAUAAUAUUUGGCUUGUAAUAUGGAUGUACUGAUGUAUCACAUGAUUAGUCAUGAAUGACAGAAUGGCAUACGCGACAUAUAACAUAAAUGGCCAUAUAAUAACCCUAUGGGUAAGGAGUUAACAAUAAGCAGAGACAAUUGAGGUCGCUCUUUGGUAGCCCGUUGCCUCAUCUGAAUGACCAAAAAAAAAAAAAUAUGAAAGUGAUACUUAUCUUUGCUUCUGCCGAGCCCAGUAAUUGUGUAGACAAUUUGGUCCAAGCCCCCAACUAUGAGUUGCAAUUCUAUCUUUUCAAAUUCAAUGAAUUUCUUGAAAAUCACCAUCUGAGAACCUUAGAACAAUGGUGUUCGGUGGGGUUGGUGGGUGGAAUUCGCUUGAGAAAAUCCCAAGUCCCUGUAGUCGGCGCCAAAUGUAUUAACCAUAUUUGUGAGGUCGGUCAAUGCAUUAAUGAAAGAUGAUGAUGUGUAUGAUAUGAACAAUAAUAAAGUAGAGACGUGAACACCAUUGUAUACGUGGUUCGGCAAUUGUGCCUACAUCCACGGAGAGGGAGAAAGAAGUUUAUUAUAGUAGUGGUGGUGAUACAAAAUGGGAGCUCGAUUAUGAGGAGAGCUCAAGAGAGAUGAGACCUGAGAGGUGAGGUCUCAUCAUGAGAGAUUGAGGAGGUCGUUGAUCAUGAGACCUCACCAUGAGAACCUGUGAGAAGAUCAGAACAUGCCUAGAAUGAGUAGCUUGUCUUCAUAUUUAUAGGCUACAAUGUAACUCCAUUCUUAACAUUUACUAGGGUAAUAAUGAGAGAAUAUCUUUGUAGUAAUUGGCUUUAACUUUGUAACUUGUGCCAUCAAGAAAGAGUCCAUUAGAUGAUGACAUGUGGCACCAUGAUGUACGGUAGAGAUGGUGCCACAUGUAUGUUGUAUGUAGUACCAAGAGAGAGUAUUAUUUGGAAAUCAGAAAUAGGGUUUGGAAAUGAGAGAGAGAGAGAGAGAGAGAGAGAGAGAGAGAGAGGGCUAAUUUUGAGUACUUGUCUAUUGUAGAUGAAUUCAUUUGCUUUUCAACACAACUAUGCAAAACCCAAUCUCAAUUUUAAUUAAAAUAAAUAAGAAACCAAUCUCAGUUUAAAUGGAAUUGAAAAAAAUCUGCACCAAAAAAAAAAAAUCUAAAAUAAGAAAACCAAUCUCAGUUUAAAUGGAAUUUAAAUCAAAAAAUUUACAUGGUUUUGACUAAAUCAGUCAUGAAAUCAAAUUUAGAAUCUAUAAUCUAUCAAAUUACUUGGGUUUUAAUAAUUCAUGGAAAAAAUUGGAAAUCGCCUAAACACAACAAUUACCCAUUAAUUGAUUGAUACUUACUCACUUAUUGAAGCCGAAGAGAAUUGCACAAUUAAAAAUCAAAUUUUAAUGAAACAGGGUUUUAAGUUUUGUGAUUUCAUGAAACGGCCGGUAUAUGUAAAAUUUCAAGAAAAACGAACCUGUGGGUGGAAUAAAAAGAGGGAGAAGAAAUGUGAACUUACCAUUCCAAAUUCCAAAUUAAGUAGAAGAAGAGGGAGAAGGAGAGAGACAAAGUCUGUGGGUCAAAAAAAAAAAAAAAAAAGUCACCAACUUACUUCGAAUCUACCUGAAUCUAAAUUCCAAACAGAAUCCACCCAAUUUUGAACGCAGGAAGAAGAAAUCCUCUGAGGGAAGAAAAAAAAUAAAAAAAUAAAUUGUUUAAGAUUUGCCAAAUUCUUGGGAAAAUUGGCGAUAACCCCCCAUAUUUUGACCAGGUUUGGCAAAAACCCCUUAAUUGUGCCAUUUUUGGUGUAAACCCCCCAACCCCCUACUUCAGUAAAAUUUUAACCCAUUAUACCCUUGUUCAAAAAUUUUGCCUAAACCCCCUAAAAUUGACUCAACAGAAGAUAUUAAACGCAAGUUAACUUCCGUUAACAGAAUCUUGUUUGCCUAAACCCCCCUAGGCUUGAAAUCCUCCUCCUUUCUAAUUCCCUCAUUAACAUCACCCAAUAUCAACCUUCUUAGUUUAGCAAACACCAUUAAUUAAUCACUAUAUGAAAAGUGACUUUAUCAAAGGGAUAUCCAUUCUCCAAAAUUUUGUUAAACAAUUCCAUAAUAAAAUAAUCCAUCGAUAAUAUUGUUUAAAGGAAAAUCAUUUGACUCCAAAUCCAAGAUCUAUGCAACUUAAUUGACAAUAACAGUUAAUCAAAAUGCCAAAUUGACAAUAACAACUUAAUCUCAACUAAAACGAUGGAUUAGAACAAAGAAAAUACAUUAGAAUUAGUCUUUAACUUGGUAAUGGUGCCUAAAAGUUGAUUGAAAUGGAUAAUCUACGAAAUGAGUCGUGUUUAAAUAAAGUGAUUGAAUAAAACCAAAGCUUCAUUUAGCGUAAGUGUACCAAAUUUACAACAUUCUCUUACAAAUUUCUCUAUACAUAUUGAAGAAGAAGAAGUGAAGUGGGAUGGAUAAAAGAGAGAGUGAAACGGAAGUGGGAAAGAUAAAAGAGAGAGAAAUUUAUACAAACCUUUGCUACUAUUUCUCUUUCUUAUCAACAUCAUUUCACCAUUGUUGAUGAUUAGAACUUUCUUAAAUAGCAUAAGUAACCACAUGAUUCUCUUUUUUCUUCAAGAUUUGUUGGGUUUGAUGGAAGAUACAUGGAUCUGGGACAAACUAUACUUUUUUUUCUUUUAUGUUUUUCUUUAUUUUAGUGGGGUUAAGGCAAACAAGAUUUUGUUAACGGAAGUUUACUUGCGUUUAAUAACUUCUGUUAAGUCAAUUUUAGGGGGUUUAGGCAAAAUUUUUGAAUAGGGGUAUAAUGGGCUAAAAUUUUACUGAAGUAGGGGGUUGGGGGGUUUACGCCUAAAAUGGCACAAUUAAGGGGUUUUUGCCAAAUCUGAUCAAAAUGUGGAGGUUAUCACCAAUUUUCCCAAAAUUCUUUAAGAGAAGAGAACACAGAUGGCAACGAAGAAGACAGAUGGAAGAGGAAAGGAGACAGGUGGAAGAAAGCCCAGAAAAGAAAACUAACAGGGUGGGCCUGCACAAAGGUUAAAAGAGGAAUUGAGUAUAUAUGGGGGAUAAAAAAUUAAGAGAUUUUUGGACAUACCCCCAUUUGAAAGUCGAAAUUUGAGAUACCCAAAAAAAAAUUUGAGAUACCCCCAAUUCAAGAUGUGGUGUUAUCUUAGCCGUCUAUCAUAAUCCAUCUGUCGAAUUUGGGGUAUCUCAAAUUCUUUUUCAAAUGGGGUAUCUCGAAUUUCGACUUUCAAAUGGGGGUAUGUCCAAAAAUCUCAAAAAUUAAAAGAACAUUGGUUGAACGAACCAUGCCUUGAUUUCCAACCCUCUUCUAUAGAUAGGGAUUUCAAGUUUCAAUACUCAAGAAAUAAAGAAAAACCUCUUUGCUUCUUCAAUACUCCUAUCUAGAGUCUCUCUUUACUUCUACUAUAGCUCUUCAAAACUGUUAACUCUGCUACAACAAAAUCUUCAAGUACUCUUAUCUCCAUAAAGGUGUGUAGGUCUUCUUAUCACUUGUGAUUAUGUUGUUUUUGUCUUUUUUUAUGUGGUUAUUGGAAAUCGAUUGAAAUAAGCAAUGGGUUUUCCUUAAAAUUUCAUUUUCUAUGGUGAUUUAAGAGAUUUUUGCAUUUUAAGAUGAUGGGUAUCUUUGAUUUUGACUAAUUUUGGUCAAGGAAUGUUAUAAAUUAGUCUUUGUAAAAAUCUGUUGGGUGUUUGUUAUGGAAAAUUGAUGAUUCAAGGGGGUAAGAACUGAACAGAUAACAUAUUUUUGGAUUCAACAAGUUUCAAAGUUUUUAGCUGUAUGCAAUCAGCUCACAUGUUGAUGAAUUGAUAAGAAGUUAGGAUAAAAAUGUUUUGGAAAUAGAUUACAGAUUUGCAGUCUUCUUUCAGAAGUCAUUUCUGUCAGAAAGUCAUGUUUUAAAAGUCACACCAGCUCACAUGCUAAGAAGAAUAAUUUUGAUUGGUUAUUUGUGCAGCACACCCUACUUCUCUUUCUAAUUGACUAUAUACAUAAAAUUUACCUUCGCCAAUUUGUAAGAAGUGGAAAAAAAAGAAGAAGAAAAAGGACAAAGGUUAACAUAAUAAAAAACGAAUGGGAACCCAUUACUAUGAAUCAACCGGAGAAAUAAUAGGAUGUAUGAAACUCAAAUUCACAUACCACACACUUUUUUUAAUCAACCUAACACAGGACUAAAGCUUUCUAUUGUCAAACUUAGCAUUUCUGCAUUCAUUAGGAAAGAUUCAUGUAAUCUCAAAAACAAAGCCACUGUGGUGCUGAGACUUUUAAAAUCAUAAUUUCAAUUUAGAGGUAAGCAUUUUAAAAAGGGUUUCUAAGUGUUGUCGAUGAUCUAGGACCCAAGCAAAUUGUAAUCUCCCACACAACUGUUGAAAGUGAGAUAAAAGUGAGAAAACUAACCUAAUAUUUUCAAGUGAAAACGCUUGUAUAUCGGGCUCGUAGGAUCAACUUUGAAACCCAUGCCUUCAAACAUCUUUAACUGAAAUGAAGGAAUAAAACAUGAAAGAAACAAGGGUUAAUUGAAAUGCUCAUAAAAUGUAACAUAAAUAUAUAGCAGACUUGCAGUUCUAAAUGCUCUGUAUGAAACUAUGAAUUAACCAAAUUAUAAUGAGACUCACCUGUUCAAAAAAUCCAUCAUUAGGGCAAACAAACUCACAACUUUGUUGUAAAUUUGUAAUGAUUCAAGCGCAUCUGCAGAACAUGUUUGCAAAAACAUAAGAGUCAAUGACCAAUCAUAUAAUAAAGAUAUCUUGUCGCUACAAAAGUAGCGGAAGGAAAACAUAAAUGAAGUCCACAAAAAAUAAAAAGAAAAUGUUUCAACCUUCAUGCGAGAGUUGUUCAGUUCUCAUCAGAUAUGCUGUAAUGAUAGAUGCACUGCCAUAAACCAAUACAAACCGCUGUAAGUUCAGGUCAGGCUGAUAAUGUAGGAGAUCUAAGCAUAUAGACUAAAACACAAAACAGGAUGUAUAAAAUAAAAUUGUUUCUGUCUUCUACUUCACAAUAUUUAUCCAAGUAUUUUAUAGCUUUUAGGAACUACACAGUAAAGUGCGAACAAUCCUCAACAUGAAAGUACAGUACGUGUGAAGGUCUGGCUUGAUAAAUUACAGAACAUAAUGUAUGAAAUUAAAAUGCUUUUGUCAUCUACUAUCACAUUAUUUUCACUAUUGAAAGGGCGAAAUAGUCGUUAAUUAGAUCGCGCUUUUCAAAACCUUGCUUUGACUACCUAAAAAUGAGUAUAGCUUGAAAAAAGGGUUAUCGAAUCCAUGUCUAAGAGAGAACCAAGUUAAAUGAGAAAAAGAAAUUCAUUUUUUUUUACUAAUCUAGAGAAUAUUGGGAAAUUAAUUUUGCAAGGUAUUGGUGAUUAACUACUAAUAAAGUAAGAAAUAAUUAUAAGAAGAUAAAUAUGAUGAGAAUUUCGAGAGAUUGAAUCCACCAAUUCAAUUAUGUAAUAAUAUAUAGAUUUAUCAAGAUUAAUCCGUAGAUAGAUACUCAUUAUACACUAAGAUGAUUCAAAAUGCAUAAUGGAAAUGUAUGACUUUAAACACUUAUUCUAUCUACAUUAGAGCCUAUCAAUUCUGGAGAAUCAAUGAUACUUCCUAUCAUUAAAAUGUGAGGAAAGACUACAACACAUUGUACAACUAUUAUGUUGGUGGCAAGAAAGAGUACGUUCGUCUUUCAGACCGUCACUCAAUGUGUCCCCAAAUAGCUAUAGCAAAGUGUAUAUUCCACCUACUAAAAUAAAUUAAAGAACUAAGAAGAAAGUAAAUAAACACCGUUAUAUGCUUCAUUUCACAAGUAAAUCAUUGCAAUUACUUACCUCUAACCUUCUCUCGAAGCGCUAGAUCCUUGACCUCCAGCAUUACUCUAAUGGAUUAAAGCUUAAUAAAUAAUAUAUUAACUACUACAUAAAAUGAAAAGGCUUCAUCUCUCCCUUGAAAAAGGGAGAUUAGCCUAGCAUAAUACUAAACUAAAAUCUAUUAAAUAAAAUGACAUAAAAUAAAAGCUAACUAAACUAAAAAGAAGAAGAAGAAGAAUUUUUAUUAGAAUGAGUUUUGCUCUCAACUCUUGAUAAUCAAUACAAUGAAUAGAGCUCCCUAUUUAUAGAUCCAUAGGGAGCCUAAAAUGGGAAAAUUGCAAGAUAUUACAUGAUAUUUGAUUUGAUUGCUAAUCAAAUCAUUUGUGGAAGAAAAUGUCAAGAAUAAAAUCUUUGAAUGAUUGUGAUCAAAGAUUAAUGAAAAACAUGUGUUGAAAAUCAAAUCCUUGCCACCAUUGUUGCCAACUUUGUAUAAAACUGCCAUGUAUAGUGAUAUUCUAGAAGAUACUGGCAAUCUUUCUUGGAUGCUUGAGUUGUCACAAUAUUCUCCAUAUUUUACACAUGCUAGAAUCUUAAGUAUCAACCUUGAAGUGAUUCCAUGCUCCAUCUUCUGUUUAGUAGUCUCACUUCACUUAUCUUCUUAAUGGGCCUCUCUUGGACUUGAGCUUUGUAGAUAAUUUAUGGGCUCAUUUAGAUUUAAUCAACUAAGAUUCAUUCAAGGCUUUGACCAUUUGGAACAAUGACUUUAGGCUUCAUACUUGACUUUUCUCUUUUUGCUCUUUUUAUAUCAUUUUGUAGGCUUUUUCUUUGAUUUAUUCUUUUCUAGGUUCUUUUCUGCAAAAAUACAAAAACAAUAGAUAUUACUCUAAUUCAAGCCUAAAAUGAGUUCUAACAUCAUACUAAUUAGGGGUAUAAACUACGUUUUUGGAUGCUUAUCAACUAUCAAAGACAAUAAAAUUCAAUCAACACUUGGCUACUUGUACAACAAUUCUGAUUAGGAUUUCAUAGUUAUGAAAAUCAACUAUAAUCUAAAUCAAGAGAUUACGAAACCCUAAUUUACCCAAAAUGAGUAAACAAUUUAAACCAAUUAGACCCAAAGCACAAAUCAUUUCCCACAUAAAAUUCAAUUAAUCUAACAGCAAAAUUUAGCAUUAACCAUUAUUUAAAAAUUAAAAUAGAAGAAACAAAACAAUACCUUCUUGAAACACCUGCGAAACAAUGUACUAAAACAGAGCCUUGUUUUCUACUAUUAUCAAUAAAAUCCAAACAAACAUCCAAAUAAUCCAAUAAAUUUUCUCUUUCCAUAUCUCUUAAAGGAACACCCAUUCUUACUAACUUCAAAUCCUUUCCAGCAUAUUCGACCAAACACAUUAACUUCUUCUUCUUCUUCUUCUUCUUCUUCUUCUUAUCACUAUCACUUUCUUCUUUUUCGUAUCCUUAGGCAAGCAUGGAAAUUGGAAAAGUGAACAUUGGAUGUUGUGCCAUGGUGAUGGAAUUAUGUACAGUAUCAUAACUGAAUAUUCUUUUCUUCUUAUACUCUCAAAACCUCAAAGGGAUCUCAUACAAUAAUUGUUAACCAUAUCUAUUAGAUAUGUACCGACGACUUGUGUAGUUGUGCCACCUGUUGAUUAUGCCAAAAGCAGUUUCAAAGAGUCUGGAAACUCAUCUUUGUGAUUGUGAGCCAAUCAGUCACUCAUCACUCUUUUAUUUCAUCAAUAUUUUUACAAACUUUUAAUCUAGAUUAGAGAUUAAAAUUUAGAUAAUAGUACUAUCAUUCACAAUUCACUUAACAAAAAGCAUAAUUUAUAAUUUGUAGACUUGUAGUUAAUCACGAGAUAAAGAAAAAUUGUGAUAUUUUUUUUUUUAAUAGAUAAAAUGGUGAUCAUUGAAUUGAAUUGGAGAUUUGGAUUCAUGUUUUGAACUCUGGUCAAUGUUGUUGUUAGCAAAUGAGGUUGAGAGUGCCUACCCCUUUAAAUACACAUGAAUAUGAACACGUAUAUCAAACAAUCAGUUAUUGAUGUGUUUCCAACCUACUGUGCUCCGCAGAAUAUUUAAGUUUCACAUUCACUUUUUUUCAAAAUAUAUAAUAAAAAUUAAUAAUCACCUAUUGGUUUGCCCAAGAGUCAAGACCAUGAUGGGGCGAGGCACAAAACAAAAUAAAUAAAGAGAUAGAAGAAGUGAAUAUCUACAGAAUAAUGCUUUCACUCGACCCAUAUAUACUAACCAACCCUCUUCAACGGAAGCAACAUUAUUCAGGAUACCUCAUGGAAAUUUUAAAAGAAGAAGGGAUAAUUUAGUCAUUCUAUAAAUUUACACGACGAAAACGUUCGUUCGACAUCACCACCGUUCUUCCUCUUGGUUUCAUUUACAGCAGCAAAGCAACAGAGAAGUAGACAAGAUAAGAUAAGAUAUAAUUAACAAAGCAAUCUUGGCCGUCAGAUCUCUCAGUCAUAACUCCUCCUACCAUAAUAACCAGGGUUAGCACUAAUACUUCCUUCUAUUGUGUUUUUUUUCUGAUUUUUUCUGAUUUUUUUUAUUAUUAUUUUGGAUUUUUUUUUUUCAAAUAUUUUGGGUAAUAGUUAUGUUCUGUGACAUAUAAAUAUGAUUGAUUGGUUGAAUUUAUUGAAAUGGGGUUUGGGAUUUUUUUUUUGUUAUUAGUGUUGUGUAGAAAUUGUACCAUUGAAGAAUAAACUGUUACUGAUUACUUGCCAUAUGUGAUGUAGUCAUAUGUUGGUAUGAAUGGAGAACAUUGAUUAAGCACAUAUUGAAAUGUAAUUGAUUAAACUGUCCAUAAUGAAUUAGAAUGUAUUUUAAGUUAGCUGAAUCGUUUCGUACCUUGUUUCAUUUUCGAGUUAUAUGAGUUAUUAGGCAUGAUUUGACACAAAUUAUACUUGCAUUUCAUAUGACAUAUCACAUAUGGCAAUAGUAGUCAUUUUGAAGUACAUGAUCUCUAACAUCAGGUUAUUGUGAAAGCAAAGUACUAAUCUUGUCAACCUACAGAAUACAAUCAUCAACGACUCAUUUUUUUCUCACUGUAGUUUGAAUUUAACAUGUUAAUCUUCAUUAGUCAUGAGUUUAUUGACACAUGUUAAUCUUCAUUAACAUGGCACAUUUAUGCAAACCUCAUUCGACAUUGCAGUUUUCCACUUACAAGAACCUGUUUGUUGUUGUCUUUGAGACUUAUAUUUUAUGGGAUCCAUAACUUUGUUGAUGGAAGUAUUUUAACAAUAAAAUCUCUAAUCUUUGCAGUUCUUUUUUGACUUUUAUAUUUCCAGGUGUGGUAUACCUGUUUUUAGGGAAGAGCCAAGCCUUCGACAUGGCUCACUUACUGUCAACAUCUUGCUCUUUGAAAUUGAUAACCAGUAGCAAGUUUGACCUUAGACAUAUGAGUCAAUCUUCCACCUUUUAUCCUACUUCUCUUACUUUACAAACUUCCACAUUUCCAUCAAAGAGGUCACGCCAAAGAGGUCUUACUGUUUUUGCAACCGCACUAUCUCCAAGUCAAGGAAUUCAAAGUCAAAGCAGCUCUGGGUUUGAUCACAAAGACACUGAACCAUCAAGGCUAAAGAGAGUCAUGAUUAUAGGCGGAGAUGGAUAUUGUGGUUGGGCUACCGCUCUUCAUCUUUCCAAGCAAAAUUAUGAAGUUGCUAUUGUAGAUAAUCUUGUCCGACGACUUUUUGAUCAUCAACUUGGUCUUGAUUCACUAACACCAAUCUCUUCAAUCCACAAUCGUGUCCGACGAUGGAAAUCUCUGACAGGAAAAACUAUUGAGCUUUAUAUUGGUGACAUAUGUGAUUUUGAAUUUUUAUCUGAGACUUUCAAAUCUUUUGAGCCUGAUUCUGUUGUUCAUUUUGGUGAACAACGCUCGGCUCCUUACUCCAUGAUUGAUCGUACUAGAGCGGUGUUCACGCAGCAUAACAAUGUGAUUGGUACACUAAAUGUUCUGUUUGCUAUCAAGGAAUAUAGAGAGGAUUGCCAUUUAGUAAAGCUGGGAACAAUGGGCGAAUAUGGGACUCCCAACAUUGACAUUGAGGAAGGAUACAUUACAAUUAACCACAAUGGCAGAACAGAUACAUUGCCUUACCCAAAGCAAGGA
rnacentral:lncRNA from 1 species